UACAGAGGGCUCAAGCGUUGCUCGGAUUCAUUGGGCGUAAAGGGUGCGUAGGCGGCGUGGUAGGUCGGGUGUGAAAUCUCGGAGCUUAACCCCGAAACUGCAUUCGAUACUGCCGUGCUUGAGGACUGGAGAGGAGACUGGAAUUUACGGUGUAGCGGUGAAAUGCGUAGAUAUCGGAAGGAAGACCAGUGGCGAAGGCGGUUCUCUGGGCCGAUACUGACGCUGAGGAGCGAAAGCGUGGGGAGCGAACAGG
rnacentral:rRNA from 1 species